UGGCGCCUUUUUAUUCCAA
rnacentral:miRNA from 1 species